rnacentral:rRNA from 1 species
AGUGGCGCACGGGUGCGUAACACGUAGGUGACCUACCUUUAAGUCGGGGACAACAUUGGGAAACCGAUGCUAAUACCGGAUGUGGAAAAUCAUUUUGAAUGAGAUUUUCUAAGGGGUGCUUUUGCAUUUGCUUAAGGAAGGGCCUGCGGGACAUUAGCUAGAUGGUGGGGUAAUGGCUUACCAUGGCGACGAUGUCUAGGGGGUCUGAGAGGAUGAUCCCCCACACUGGAACUGAGACACGGUCCAGACUCCUACGGGAGGCAGCAGUAGGGAAUAUUGCGCAAUGGGCGAAAGCCUGACGCAGCAAUGCCGCGUGAGUGAGGAAUGCCUUAGGGUUGUAAAGCUCUGUCAUAUGGGAAGAACAAGGUUUUGGUUAAUAGCCUUAACCCCUGACGGUACCAUAGAAGGAAGCACCGGCUAACUUCGUGCCAGCAGCCGCGGUAAUACGAAGGGUGCAAGCGUUGUUCGGAUUUAUUGGGCGUAAAGCGCGCGCAGGCGGAUGUGCAAGUCAGAUGUGAAAUCUCGGGGCUCAACCCCGAAACUGCGUCUGAAACUGUAUAUCUAGAAUCAUAUAGGGGGCAGGGGAAUUUCACAUGUAGGGGUAAAAUCCGUAGAGAUGUGAAGGAACACCGGAGGCGAAGGCGCCUGCCUGGAUAUGUAUUGACGCUGAGGCGCGAAAGCGUGGGUAGCAAACAGGAUUAGAUACCCUGGUAGUCCACGCCGUAAACGAUGAGCACUAGUUAUUGGAGGUAUUGACCCCUUCAGUGACGCAGCUAACGCAUUAAGUGCUCCGCCUGGGGAGUACGGUCGCAAGACUAAAACUCAAAGGAAUUGACGGGGGCCCGCACAAGCGGUGGAUUAUGUGGUUUAAUUCGAAGCAACGCGCAAAACCUUACCUAGACUUGACAUCCUGAGAAUCUUUUAGAGAUAAAAGAGUGCCUUUAUUGGAACUCAGUGACAGGUGCUGCAUGGUUGUCGUCAGCUCGUGCCUUGAGGUGUUCGGUUAAGUCCGUUAACGAGCGCAACCCAUGUUCUUAGUUAUUAUGUCUAAGAAGACUGCCUUGGUUAACAAGGAGGAAGGUGUGGAUGACGUCAAAUCAGCAUGGCUUUUACGUCUGGGGCUACACACAUGAUACAAUGGUAUAUACAGAGGGUAGCAAUAUUGUGAAAUGGAGCUAAUCCUUAAAAUAUAUCUCAGUCCGGAUUGGAGUCUGCAACUCGACUCCAUGAAGUUGGAAUUGCUAGUAAUCGUGAAUCAGAUAUGUCACGGUGAAUAUGUUCCUGGGUCUUGUACUCACCGCCCGUCACGGCAUGGGAGGUAGUAAAUAUCGGAAGUCCCCCUUGUAAUAUGGGGGCCCAUGGUAGGACUACUGACUGGGCUGAAGUCGUAACAAGGUAACC